GCUAUGUAGCUCAGUUGGUUAGAGCACCGCACUCAUAAUGCGGGGGUCACAAGUUCAAGUCUCGUCAUAGCCACCAU
rnacentral:tRNA from 1 species